rnacentral:snoRNA from 1 species
GAGUGAAGAUGAGAUUGAGAAAGAGGAUGAGAGGGGAGGAUGGGAGGGAAGAGGAACAAAAGUGAAAACAAUUUCAAAGAGAUUUUGUUUUUAUUUUUGUCACUCCUCAUUCCCAUCCUCCCCUCUCAUUUUCCCUCUCAAUCUCGUCUUCACUCU